rnacentral:lncRNA from 1 species
GUCCUGGUAUCAGACUGUGGAGGAGGGACCCUGGGCUGUGUGGUGCGGGCUGCUCUGAGUGGCCCUCGUCCCCUGGACACACUGCACACCGCACACACGCUUCUGCUGCUUCUAGUGUGACACAGGUCUCUGGGGAUUUCCACUCCUCGGGUGCUUCUUUGGUCCUGGUGGAUGGAUGUCCCACCUUGUCUGCAGCUUUGCUGAGACAGAGGCGCCAUGAGUGCAGUGGCAGCCCCCCAGGGCACUUGCUCAGUCAUCGCUGGGAGAACAUGUUUCCAAAGCACUCUUUCUGGCUGCAUCCCCUGGAAGUGAGCCUUCCUGGUAGGCGCCCACCUGCAGAGCAGGUGCCCACUGUUCCCUGCCCACCUGUGAGCUUUGACCUUGCAUUUCUCCUUGGGUGGCAAGGUUGAGCCUCUGCUCCUUAGACCAGCCUCGUAUGGUACAACCAUAGACCAGAGGCAGUGGGUUUUAAGGGAAGAGGGCCAUUGGGCUCAUGGUUGGAUGGUUCCUGGGCCUCACUGUUUGGAUCUGGGCCAGGGUGGCACCUGAGGAGCCAGGACACAGAGAGCAAGGACAGCCUUGAAUCCCACUCCCCUUUCUGAGUCACAGCCCUAGAGACCUGAGGACCUCCCACAGGGCCCCCUUCUGGAAGGUUCCACCUUCUUCCAACACCACCUGGGACCAAGCCUUUGACUCAGGCCCUCUGGGGUCACCAAGCCUUUUUGAACAUAGUAUUGACAUACUCGAAGCCACCAGCGCUUCACUGGGAAUUGCCCCAACACCGCCGCUUUGACCCUUGGGGCUGGUGGUGGACUCACUGCAGGGCGUUGUUGGGAUUCUGUUGGAGAGCUGGGCACAGUGACCUUGAGGGCAGCAGACCAGGGCCCUGCUCUUUCACGUAGAAUGGCUGGGAGUUCCGGAGCAUGGCCAGGUGUGUGAGCUUGUCUGGGCCUUGACAUUGGCGCGAUGGCAUAGCUGUCCUCUUGCUACGGCCAGGGCUGUCAGAGAUGGAGUGCCGGCUCCUCAGCAGUGCGGGCUGGGCUGUUUUUAGAAUCUGGACAGACGCUUUUCUCAACAGGACAUUACAGAUACACAAGGAAACCCAAAGCAGUGAGAGAAUCCGCCAAAAAGCCAGGCGAGAGGCUCCGCCCCUGCCCGCGGCCGCCCCCUCUGUGCGGGGCACCUGCCUGCCCUCAGCUCUGGUGACCUUGAUCUGGAGUCAUCUCAGGGUCUGUGCCCUGGGGACCCUGCUUGUGCGUUCCUCUUGGCUUUCUUUUGUGCUCUCCGCAGAUCAUAGUCUGAGCCUCCUGCCGAGAGGCUCCGGAGUGGGAAACUGACCCUUGUCAUCAUUUUGCCCUCUUGCUUAUCGGGUGAUGGAGAAUUCUGGUUCAGAACCUUCCCCUGAGAACUCUGGUGGUGUCGCUUGUGUCCGUGGCCUCAGGCCAGUGUGACCCCCUGACUCGCCCCGUCUGCUAGCCACUCUUCCUGGGCACCGGUCAGCCCAGGUGGAAUUUUCUUCUCUUGUCUCAUGAGUCCUUGUCUUCGUCUUCCUCUCUGCUGUCCUCUGGGCGCCCCUUCUUUCCUUUUGCUCUGUCUGGAUUUGGGGGUGUGCUUUCUUUCCAUUUCUCUGUAGCUCGAUUGUUUGGCGAAGCUCCCUUGGGCCUCCUCAUACCGCGGUUCUCCCUUCAGUCAGAUCCAUUCUGCCUUUCAGCUACUGACUCUCAUUUCAGUGGUUUUGUUUGGAAGUUUGAGACCUCCAGGUGGCGCUGUGGAUGUGAGAUCCUGCUGACCUCCUGACCACUGGGAAACCCCUUGUGGUGCUCACGUGGGCCAGCGCUCCCCGUGUGCCAGUCCUUGGGCCCUCAGUGCUGGCUUCUCCCAGCAUCGGGCAGAGGCUGGUUCCCACCUGCGUCCUCGCGCUGGGUGCUCCACGGAGUGCUGGCUCUGGCUGCGCGGACUCCCCAGAGGCUGCCCUCAGGCUGUGGACCCCACCGAGAAACUGUGCCACACGGCCACUGCUCCCCAGGUCCUCUGACUGGCCCUCCCACCACUAGCUCUGUCUGCUGUCUGAGUCAUCUGCGUCCUGCCCUUAAGGGCCUUGGGGUGCUUUCCUCUGGGACACCUCCUGAUGAGCUAGGUCCUACUUGGAGUGCUGUGCUGGGGCUCCACUCCGAUGCAGGCAGGGCGCUCUCAGGGCUCCUGUGAGGGCCAGUACCCAGGGACAGUCCUCCAGGGACCUCAGCUGAUGGCCAGAAGGACGUCCGGGUGAGAACAGGCAGAUCAGGAGGCCAGACAGGAGCCGCAUGACUGUCAGGGUGGGGGCACCUGGGCCGGGGCCAGGCUGGGACAGGGCUUCUCAGGAGAAGGUGUUGGACAGUUGGUCAGUGUGGCCCUGACCAGGAUGGACUGCAUGGCCUGCCAACAGUUCC